GCCGGGACAGCCCCGGGAAGCCGAGAGGGCGAGAGCCGCGGCCCGGCCGCCAAGGGCUCGGGCCCCAGCGGCUGCUGCGUGGACAGCCCGGCGGCGCUGGGUCCGAGCGCAGCGGGCCCCUCCGAGCGGCCGCCGAGUGCACAGCCCCGCGGCGCGGGGUCCGAGCCCCAGCGGGCCCCUCCGAGUGGCCGCCGCGUCGCCAGCCCCGCGGGCGCAGGUCGCAGCCGCGCGUCGGGGACACCGGCCGCCCGGUCUCCCGCGGGGAUGCGGCGACCGUCGCCCCGCGACCCCCAGAGGCGGAGACUCUCCCGAGGAGCACGAGCGUGAUCCGGCGGCCUCUCUGGAGGAGGAGAAGCACAGGGCCGGCGCGAUGGACGCGGCGCCGCCUCGCCCGGAGCCCGCACCUGCCGCCCGGAGCCCGGAGCCGCGCGGGAUGCUGCGCCGCUAGUUUUGUAAUCAACCACAAAAGAUGAAAUCUUCCAUAACUGAGAUGCUUCACAGAGGGAGGAUGUUGUGGAUAAUUCUUCUGAGUACAAUUGCUCUAGGAUGGACUACCCCGAUUCCCCUGAUAGAGGACUCAGAGGAAGUGGAUGAGCCCUGCUUUGAUCCAUGCUACUGUGAAGUUAAAGAAAGCCUCUUUCAUAUACAUUGUGACAGUAAAGGAUUUACAAAUGUUAGUCAGAUUACUGAAUUCUGGUCAAGACCUUUUAAACUGUAUCUACAGAGAAAUUCCAUGAGAAAAUUGUAUACCAAUAGUUUUCUUCAUUUGAAUAAUGCUGUAUCCAUUAAUCUUGGGAACAAUGCAUUACAGGACAUUCAAACAGGAGCUUUCAAUGGUCUUAAAAUUUUAAAGAGGCUAUACCUACAUGAGAACAAACUAGAUAUCUUCAGAAAUGACACCUUCCUUGGAUUGGAAAGUCUGGAAUACCUACAGGCAGAUUAUAACGUCAUUAAACGUAUUGAAAGUGGUGCAUUUCGGAACCUGAGCAAAUUGAGGGUUCUGAUUUUAAAUGAUAAUCUCAUUCCCAUGCUUCCAACAAAUUUAUUUAAGGCUGUAUCCUUAACUCACUUGGAUCUUCGUGGAAAUAGGCUAAAGGUUCUUUUUUAUAGAGGCAUGUUAGAUCACAUUGGCAGAAGUCUAAUGGAGCUCCAGCUUGAAGAAAAUCCCUGGAACUGUACAUGUGAGAUUGUGCAAUUGAAGAGUUGGCUAGAAAGGAUUCCUUAUACAGCUCUGGUGGGAGACAUCACCUGUGAGACGCCUUUCCAUUUCCAUGGAAAAGACCUGCGAGAAAUCAGGAAGACAGAACUAUGUCCUUUGUUGUCUGAUUCUGAGGUGGAAGCUAGUUUGGGGAUUCCCCACUUAUCAUCAAGCAAGGAGAAUGCAUGGCCAACUAAGCCUUCUUCAAUGUUGUCUUCUGUUCAUUUUACUGCUUCAUCUGUUGAAUAUAAGUCCUCAAAUAAACAACCCAAGCCCACUAAACAGCCCCGAACACCAAGACCGUCUUCCACAUCCCAAGCUUUAUACCCUGGUCCCAACCAACCUCCCAUUGCUCCUUAUCAGACUAGACCACCUAUCCCCAUUAUAUGCCCUACUGGGUGCACCUGUAAUUUGCAUAUCAAUGACCUUGGCUUGACUGUCAACUGCAAAGAACGAGGAUUUAAUAACAUUUCUGAACUUCUUCCAAGGCCACUGAAUGCCAAGAAACUGUACCUUAGUAGCAAUCUGAUUCAAAAAAUAUAUCGUUCUGAUUUUUGGAAUUUCUCUUCCUUAGAUCUCUUACAUUUGGGAAACAAUCGUAUUUCAUAUGUUCAAGAUGGAGCUUUCAUCAACCUGCCCAACCUAAAGAGCCUCUUUCUCAAUGGUAAUGAUAUUGAAAGGCUGACGCCGGGCAUGUUUCGAGGCCUACAGAGUUUGCACUACUUAUAUUUUGAGUUCAAUGUCAUCCGGGAAAUCCAGCCUGCAGCCUUCAGUCUCAUGCCGAACUUGAAGCUACUAUUCCUCAACAAUAACUUGUUGAGGACCUUGCCGACAGACGCCUUUGCAGGCACAUCUCUUGCCAGGCUCAACCUGAGGAAGAACUACUUUCUCUACCUUCCUGUGACUGGUGUCCUUGAACACUUGAAUGCCAUUGUCCAGAUAGAUCUCAAUGAGAAUCCUUGGGACUGUACGUGUGACUUAGUCCCCUUCAAGCAAUGGAUCGAGACCAUCAGUUCAGUCAGUGUGGUGGGCGAUGUGCUCUGCAGAAGCCCCGAGAACCUCACCCACCGGGAUGUGCGCAGCGUCGAGCUGGAAGUUCUCUGCCCAGAGAUGUUGCACACUGUACCUGUUGGAGUCUCUCCAGCCCAGCCUGGAGAUUCUCAGCUUGCUGGGGGAACAACAAGUGCAUCACCUUAUGAAUUCUCUCCCCCUGGGGGCCCUGUGCCACUGUCUGUGCUCAUUCUUAGCCUACUAGUUCUAUUUUUUUCAGCAGUCUUUGUUGCUGCUGGACUCUUUGCUUAUGUCCUCCGAAGACGCCGAAAGAAACUGCCCUUUAGAAGCAAGAGGCAGGAAGGUGUGGAUCUUACUGGCAUCCAGAUGCAAUGCCAUCGGCUUUUUGAAGAUGGUGGAGGAGGUGGAGGUGGGAGUGGGGGCGGACUCCGACCAACACUCUCCUCCCCUGACAAGGCCCCUCCUGUGGGUCGUGUCUAUGAGUACAUCCCCCACCCAGUUACACAGAUGUGUAACAAUCCCAUCUACAAGCCCCGAGAGGAGGAAGAGGUGACUGCCACCUCACUCCAGGAGACAGGAAGUGCAGAGCGUGGCGGUCCUGGUACACAACCACCAGGAAUCGGGGAGGUUCUCCUAGGAAGUGAGCAGUUCACGGAGACAGCCAAGGAGAACCACAGCAACUACCGGACCUUGCUCGAAAAAGAGAAGGAGUGGGCCCUGGCUGUGUCCAGCUCACAGCUAAACACUAUAGUGACAGUCAAUCAUCAUCACUCACACCCUCACCACCCAGUAGUUGGUGGAGUUCCAGGGGUAGUUCCAGGACCUGGAGGAGACUUGGCUGGGUUCCGCCACCAUGAGAAGAAUGGUGGGGUGGUGCUGUUUCCUCCUGGUGGAGGCUGUAGUGCUGGCAGCAUACUACUAGACCGAGAGAGGCCACAGCCAGCCACAUGCACAGUAGGAUUUGUGGACUGUCUUUAUGGCACAGUGCCCAAGUUAAAGGAGCUGCAUGUCCAUCCUCCUGGCAUGCAAUAUCCAGACUUACAGCAGGAUGCCAGGCUCAAAGAAACCCUUCUCUUUUCGGCUGGAAAGGGCUUCACAGACCACCAAACCCAAAAAAGUGAUUACCUCGAGUUAAGGGCCAAACGUCAAACCAAGCCGGAUUACCUCGAAGUCUUGGAGAAAACAACAUAUAGGUUCUAACAGAAAAUUAAAAAAAAAAUUUAAAAAUCAGUGCUUUUCCCCCCCGCCCCCAAACAAAAAAAAAAAAAGAAAAAAGAAAAAAAGAAACACAACCCCCUUUCCCCUUAUAUUUGUCCCCAAAACUCCACUCUCAUAAACUUCCCCACCCUGAACAGAACUCAAGACCGCAUGAAAACUAGAAAAUCCAGAUGUAGGCUCUUCCCUCUCCGUGUGAUUUGGAGGAAGGGUCAUACUCAGAUCAUUAAUCAAUGAAGUGCCUUCGCAGACUUUUGCCAGCAAAUGUUAUCAUUAUUUUUUUAUACUGAAACUUGAGACUUUGACUGUGCCAUGUAUAAGGAAAACUUUCUCAACAAGAAGUGAAAUGGAAAUAGAGGGUCAAAAUGAAAAUGUUCUGCCUUUCUGAAGAUAAGAAGUUACUAGUUUAAACAAAACUUUCAUAUUAACCUUUGCUGAUCUUUAAAUCCCAGAACAGAUUUACUGUGUCUUUCAACAUAACUCUAAGUCACUUCAAUCAGUUAACAGUCACUGGACAGCAAAUUAAACUUUUACAGAAAGAAAAGCAACAACAUUUUUUAAAAUUCUAAUUCAAAAGAAAUUACAAGCAUAAAUAUCAAUGGAUUUUAAAAUAUUGAGCUAAUUCAUACUAUAAACUGUAAAAUGAGUUAUGGAGUCAAUACCUUUUAUUAAGUUAUUUUUUAUACAAAUAAGAAUUCGUUGUUAUCUCCUAGUUUAUUUCAUACUAUGUUAGCAUACUUUUCUCUGAUUCUAUAUCAGCAACCUUUUUUUUUCAGUUUUGUACUCUUAAGUAUUGAACCCAGAACAUUACACUUUUAAGGCAUGUGUUCUAUUGUUGACACACAUCCUUGGUUCCAAGGAUAAAUUCACUUAGUAUUUAUUUUAAGAAGUUUCUAAAAAUUCACUGUAAUAUGUGAUGCAAAAUUCUAAAGCUAAAUAAAGAUAGAUUAAGCCUUUCUUGUUAGCUGCAAAACUGCUUACUUCUAUUUUUAAUUAUAAUUUGAAAUUUUGCAUAAUUUUCUGGUUGAUUUUAAUUUUGAUGAAGAAUUAAAAAAUGAGAUGCAUUUAAAAUGCAUCACUUAAUUUUUAAUGAGUCAUAUUUUAACAGUUUUAUACAUAUAAUGAUUUGUAUGUAUUUUUAAAUAAUAUUUCAACAUCUGACACAAUACAAAUUUAUAUUUUGUUUGUGAUGGGAACUUAAAAUUUAUUAUCAAAAACUUUCAAAUAAUCUAUCAGUAUUUAUAACUAUAAUCACUGUGUUCUACAUUAAAUUCUUAUGACAUAUUUUUGAGGGGUGUUACCCAGUGGUGCUCAGGACUUACUCUUGACUCUGUACUUAUGGAUCUGUCCUGGUUGGCUUCGGGAACCAUACAGGUACCAGGCAUUGAACCCAGGCUAGCAGUGUAGAAGGCAAGUGCCUUAUCCAGUGUACAACCUUCUGACCCUAUGACAUUUAUUUUAUAACUAGACUCUUUUCAUGGGGUCAGGAGACACACCCGGCAGUGCCCUGUUGCUAUUCCUGAUUUUGUGCUGAGGAAUGACACUUGGUGUGCUUGGGGAACUAUAUGUGAUGGUAGAAAUCAAAUUGUGGUUGGUUACGGAUAAAGCAAGUGCCUUAUCUCUUUUAACAUAACUAGAAAUGUGUGCCAUUUAAUUCCCUUCACACAUUUUGACAUUCACACCCAGCCCUUCUUUUUACUUUUUUUUAAAGAAACAAUCAAUAUUUGGACUGGAGUGAUAGCACAGCGGGUAGGGCGUUUGCCUUGCACGCGGCUGACCCGGUUUCGAUUCCCAGCAUCCCAUAUGGUCCGCCAAGCACCGCUAGGAGUAAUUCCUGAGUACAGAGCCAGGAGUAACCCCUGAGCAUCGCUGCGUGUGACCUAAAAAGAAAAAAAAAAAAAGAACCAAUAUCUUUUUGAUGAGCUUAUCUAUGUCUAUUACUUUUAUGUUGUCAUUUUUUAAAGAUUUCACAAAAAUGAUAUUAUGUGGUAAUUGUCUAACUCAUUUCAUUUAGAAUGAUUGAUGUCCUCAACUUUCAUCCAUACAUUUCAUCAAUCAUGUUGAAACUUAAUCAUACACAUCUUAAGAUGGUAGUGAAAUUGCUCCUUACAAAAGAUUAUUGAAAUAGCUUCUUAAAAAUCAACUCUAAUUUCUUCUACAUAUAUAUAAUUAAUAUCUAAACAUUGCUCAAAUAAAUUGUGCAUACAUACACAUUUUAUUAAAUCACUAUCAAAUAAAGAAAAAAUUUAUAUUGCAUUACUGCACAAAUGAAAUGUAAAAGUUUUAAAAAUUCAAAAUGCGGUAGUAUGUAGUGUGGGAAACUGAACAAUAUAUAAAACAGCAUUAAUGUUUUAUUUAAUUUUAAUUACUUAUUUAUUUGUUUGUUUGGGGGACACACUCAGUGUGCUUAGGGUUUACUUCUGAUUCUGCACAACAGGAUCACCCCUGCUGGGCUCAAGGUAACAUAUGGGUACCCGGGAUUGCAUGACAAGCACUUCCUACUCUAUGACUCUGGUCCCAUGUUUUACUUUUUAAAUUAACUAAAUAACUGUACUAUUAAACUUGAGUACAUUGGAGAUGUUACUUUGAUUACUCUCACCUCAUUAAGAAUUGUUAGGAAUCCUACCAUUGUGUCUUAAUUCAAAGGAGGAGGGUAGAAAUAUUGAUUCCAAGUGCAGGUUCCUAUUUCCUAUUUCCUGAAAUAGGAAACGGAUACAUAUUAUCAAUGUAAAUUGAUAGUACAAGUCACAGUGGUUAUUAUUUUACUUUCAGAACAGGCACACAUGUAUCAAAAUUUGAUUUCACAUUUCUAGAUCUAAUGAGCCCUUAUUGAUAAAGUAAUGGAAAUUUAAUAUCAUUCUUCCAAAUUCUUAUGCACAAUCUUUACUUCAUGAUAAUUUUAGACUAUUGAGCUUUUGUUUUCUGCUACUUCCAGCUGUGUCCAGUGCUUCCUCCUGGUUCUAUACUAAUGGAACACCCAUGAUGGGAUCCAGAGACCAUAUAGGGAUGCUGGGGAUGAACUUGGCUUGGAUGCAAGUAAGAUAGGUAUCCUGCUUGCUGUACUAUUUCUCAUGAACCUUAUACUAAGUGUCCUUUUGUCACUUUACCUAUCUGUGCCAAUAGUUCUGGCUUUACAAUUAAGCAUAACUUGAGAAGAGAGACUAUAUUCAGAGUCCCCAUGUCUAGGGCCAUAUUUUGCCCACCAAUGGGCAAUAUAGUCUCAUCGAGUUCUGAGUUUCAUGCAAUCUGUCUUGUUUCUAGAAUAGCCACAUUUAUACAUACUUUCAAACACAGAAUUGAUAACAAGAGACACUAAUAUAUAUGCAUUGACUAAAUAAACACAAAUUUAAAAUACAUAUGCCUGUGUAGAAGUUAGUAGAACUUUAAUACUCCCAAAGAAAUGAUAAAAAUGAUGGACUGGUUUAGAAUGUGAAAAAAUUGGCAAGAAAUAAAAAAUAUGAGAAAUGUAAUAACUCUGGCUUUCUUGAAUUUCUUUAUUGACCUCAAGAAAAAUAAGAUUAAGGAAACAGGGGCUGGAGUGAUAGCACAGCAAGUAGGGCAUUUGCCUUGCACGUGGCCAACUUGGGUUCGAUUCCCAGCAUCCCAUAUGGUCCCUUGAGUACCACCAAGAGUAAUUCCUGAGUGCAGAGCCAGGAAUAACCCCUGUGCAUCGCUGGGUGUGACCCCCCCAAAAAAAGAUUAAGGAAACAGUUUUAUGAAUAUGUCUCGAAAUAAAAUAAGAUAAAAUGAAAGAAAAAUAAACAGGGGAACUAUACACAUAAUUAUAUCUUUUUUAUUUCUGGUAGAUGAAGAAUAAGCCUACCUAGUAUAAUAUAAUGCAUAUGUGAUAUUAGUGAAGUUUUUUGUUUAGUUGUUAAAAUGUCAGGAAUAAGAAAACAAUUUAUAGAGUUUUAUGGUCUUAUUUGUUAUAAUUGCUUACCUAAAGAUUUUACUUCUGUACUUAAACUUUUAACUUAAUUGAAACCAUCCAGAAACAAAAAAAUGGCACAUUAAUAAGAAUAUUGUACACUGACCUCACCUUUGAGAGACUACCAGUCUAUUAAUGAUAUUCUAGUGCAAAGCUUUAAUUUACAUGACUGCUUAUUUUAAAGGUAAAAUUACAUGUGUUGCCAAAUAUGUUGCAGGAGAACUUUACCAAAAUCCCUCCACCACAGUAUUUUGAGUCCUCCCUUCCUUUCUGUCCCUGUUUGCUCUUCCAUAGCAUUGAAGUUAUUUCCCCAGGUUUGGUUCUGACAGAAAUGAGGGUUUUAUUUGGGGGUGAGGGCUAGGGGGUAGGGUUGUUAGGUCACACCUGUCUAUGCUUAGAGAUUACUUUUGGCUUGGUACUCAGGGAUCACUCCUGGUGUGCUCAAGGGAUAUACACUAAGGGGAUAAAAUGGGUCAGCCACAUGCAAGGGAAGUGUCUGUCUGUUUUUAUUUUUUUUAUGCUAGCAAAAUUUACAAUACUACACAUUUGAGGAAUAAAAUAUACCAAGCUUUAUUCCUGUAAUUUAGUAUUAUACUGCAUAUACCAAAAUGUGUAGAUGAUGAAGAACCUUGUGACUAGUAGUAGCAGUAAAUAUGCAAAAUAUGUUUAUAUUGCAAUAUUUAUAUGGCAAUGCAGAACUACCUACAUUUUUAUAAAAUAAUAUAAGAUCUCAAAAUAAAUGAAAAAAAUUGAUCUGUAUUCGUAUUGAAUAUUGAAUCUUAAUAUGUUACUAUGAUUACAUCUCUAAAUUACUGAAAAAUAUAGUUUAAUUAAUGUUAAUGUUAUUCCAGUAAGGAAUAUUUUAAACAAAUACAAAGAUGCUCAUGAUUAAAAAUAGUCCACUGGUAUUUGUUCUAUUUACUUUUAUUUAUAAAAUAAUAUUCUUAUAAAAAUCCAGAAUAUUCAUCACUAUGACCCUACACCUUCACUGUCUUUGAUGUUUGUGUUCAAAUAGCAGUUUUUGGUGUUUUUCAUCAUUGAAUUAUAAUUGUGUAUGAACUAAUUUUAUUAUAGACAAAAUUAUCUUGAACAGUACACUUAUAUAUGUUUUAGUACACUUAUAUAUGUUUAGUGCAUAUUUGGAGUAUCAUCCAAAUACCUUAGAAGCUGUUCUACAAAACUUGCAUGCUUAAUGAGUCUCAUAGUUUUAGUGUUCUCUAGACAAAUAAAGUAGCAAGUACUAUAGUAAAUUUUAGAAUAUGUAACAUGAGAAUUUUUUUAAUUAAUGGCAAGUGAGAUGAGUAUAUAAAAAAUGAGACUGGAAAAUUAGUAAAAUGGGAAAGCACUUGUUUUGCAUGUAGCUGGUGGAUUGAUCCCCUGUCACCCACUAGGGGUGAUCCUUGAGCACAGAAUCAAGAAUAAGACUUGAGUACCAAUGAGUGUUAGCCAAAAGUCAAAAUCAAAAGAAAGAAGAGAAAGAAAGAGAGAAAGAA